rnacentral:tRNA from 1 species
GCCUUCGUAGUGUAACGGUAGCACACUAGGCGCGUAUUCGAAAGAUCCAGGUUCGGAUCCUGGCGAGAGCA